AGGUGCUCCUGAAGCAAUUACCUGCUGGGAGACGAAGGAGGUGCCACACUGUGGGAGCAGAGGCCACCGGUUGCCUGCUUCUAAGUGGACUCCCACCAGCUUCCCCAGCUCUUAUCUCCUCUGGGAACGGCCCCGUGUGGCCUGUCUGGAUGUCAGCGCAGACAGUUGAACCACUGGCCUUCCUGGGACCACCGGACACCUGGCAGAAAACCUAGAAGCUGCUCAUCCCCUGGGGACUUCACUCAGCCGAGAACUGUACAAGAAUGAAAAAAAAAAAAGCAUGGCAUUUAUCAUCAAGAAAGAAGGCUGUGUCUGGCAGUGGCAUUGUCUCGGUAACAAAGAGAAAACUUCCAAAGGGAGAAUCUCUUCCAAAAGGAGACUUGAAGAGUCCAUUGGUCUCUGCAGCCAUGUCCUACCAAGAGAGGCAGUAACAGAACUGACGAAUGGCAUCAGAUAUCCAGCGUUGUGACACUCCCACCCCUUCACAUUCACGUCAGCACCUUAGAGUCCUGCUCAGUGUGAAACGUCCAAUUGCCUGCGCUAAGGAAGAAGUAAAGAGCACCAGAAACAAUAGAAAGUGGCAAGAAAGAAUUUGGGUCAUGGGAAACAGUAGUAAAAAACAAAAUAAUAUUGGAACUCAGGGUGGCGAAACUGGAAACUCACUAGCCAGAUUGUGAAGUGUGAAGGUUGAGAUACUCGAGGCAUGGAAGGUGUUUGAAUAUUCUUUUGCAAAAGCACUACAGAAGCCAUUCAGUAGAAGGGACUCAGUGCCCCAGAGACUGCAGUGGGAGUAGGGAUUUGCUCUGACUUCCCCGUUGAAUUCAGUCUGAAGUUUUGGCCAGGGAAAAUGAAGAAUUCAGAGUAGAAAUGGACUAAGUCUGUUUCAUAUUCAGCAGGGGUUAGUAGUCAGAAAGGUAAGUCAAGGUGCUAAAGCUGCUAAAGGUGCGGAGGUGGUCCAUGAUGUCCCCUUGGGUGGGGAAAUCUGAGCACAGGCAAAGGCUGAGCAAUCAGGGGUGGCGGUCCUGGGAUUUCUGCCUGCUGAGAACUAAAACAUGGGGUUCUUGCCAGCUAGAGGCUCUGACUCACAGAAAUUUGAGCGUUCAUGUGAGCUAUUGCCAGGCAGAAAGGAUUAUAUACGCACUCAGAAGGGUUUAGUGUGUGAUGUGUUAAUCUCGAUAUUGGGGAUUGGGCUGAAAUUGGGUUGAAUCUGCUAGAAAACGUUCCCAAACAUGCCACAUCUGUUCCAGGGGAUAAGCUGUCAUCCAGUGAGGACAGCCAUGUUUAUGGAACUCCCCACGUGCAGAUUUCUGAGACAUGUAAAAACGGGGUAUGCCUCUGAUCCCCUAGAUGCUUCCAGUCAAAUGACGCCUCCAAGGAGGAAAUGGACCUGCUGUCCCACCAGGACUGUGACAAAGGGGAGCAGGUGAAGAGUGGGGGCUGGGGGCAAGGAUCAAGUCCUACAGGAUCUUUGUCAGUCUGGGGAUAUAUCUUAUUAAUUAAAAAAUAUUUAUUUAUUUAUGCACACAGA